UACUGGCAUUAUUGUAAGUCGCUUUGGACAAAAGCGUCUGCCAAAUGAAAAGUA
rfam:Astyanax mexicanus Tnplaced_Scaffold_581, whole genome shotgun sequence.